AGGGUGACUACUGCUGGCGGGAUCCAGUCCGAGGGUGGAAGAGGUUGGGGGAACAUGUUAAGCUGCUUCGCUCUUCCUCUUCCCUUUCACUCAUUCGGGUUUGAGUGUGUAUGAUCGUUACGCGCUGCUGGUUUCGGUGUCAGUAGUUCCUCACGGUGGUUCCUCGCUAUGAAUGAUAGAGAAAGAAAAUACUCUUCUCUUGAAUAGUGAAUCUGGUGAUCAGUGUAGCGGGAGGUUGUGUGGUUACUCGGAACUAAAAAAAAAAGCAUACGAGAAUGUCUGCUUACCUGUGGAGGGAGUCUGUGGCAGCCUCGCAAGUGUUUCCACAAUCCCAGAAACAAUGAGUGAAGGAGCGUCACUUCAGGAUGACACAGUUCGUCACUGCACUUCACCGGCUGGACACUUUCCACUCUGAUGCUGUUCUCGUCAGCAUCAAGAUAUCGGGUUUAGGGAGGUGAGGCCACUCAGUGUGGCAUUUGGUGUUCAUCCGUGGUGAAGAGGCUGUCUUGUGGUGGUGCCAUAGUGGAUGGUGGAAAAAGUUAGUUGCCACCCUACAGGCUGAGCUUUGGCGUACUAAGAACAUCUUUGUGACUCCUGUAGGGAGCUUGAGAAUGUGGUGAGGAAAACACACAAGUGGUGAUAGGGGACAAAAGAGGGCGCGGAGGAAGCUGUAAGGCUGAGACCUGAGGUUGACGUGUGUCUGUGAGUUUUCAUGGACAUCAGAGUGUAUCGUGAAGUCAAGGAGAGGAAGAAAUCCCAAUUGCUGCGAGUAAGUGUGCAGGUUGUGGCAUCUUUCUUGGUGCUGGAAGUUGUUGGCGUGGAGUGUGCUGACCUCAUGUGCCACCUAAAUCUAGCGGGAUUGUAUUGGUGAAAUUGGCCAUACGUUUGACGAAAUAAUAUUGUGCUAGAAUUUCUUUACCAAAUUUUAAAAUACAGAAAAGACUGCAAAUAAAAAUUACCAAAGAGGUUCUCAAAGUGAACAUCAAAAUAAUCAUGAAGAAAGUCUGGAGCCUAAAAUUUAUACUAAGCCGUAAUUAUAUUUAAGGACCGUGAUAUUUAGCAAUAUUUCAUGAAAAAAAAAAAUGCAGUGAUUAACGUGCCAACCUACCACACGUGAGUUGUAGCGCAGCCACCAGGAGAACGAUGAUACUCGUACUGUGGUGUCGGUAGCAAAAUUAUCAUCACCACCACAAACACCUCAUCCACCACAACUGCUGCUGCUGCUGCUGCAGCUGCUGCUGCUGCUGUUGCUGCUGCUGCUGCUGCUGCUGCUGCUGCUGCUGCUGCUGCUACUACUACUACUACUACUACUACUACUACUACUACUACUACUUCUACUGCUUCUGCUGCUGCUAUCAUUGCUACUAGUAGUAACACCACCAUCACGAUAAUGUUUUGCUGCCUAACUUCUUAUGAAACAACGCCGCAACUCCUGUUACUCUCAGCUCUUCAAGGUGGGUAAACCUUCCUGCUAUUGUUGUUGCGUCACACCUGUUUGAGUUAAGGAAAAUACCGGAUACGCUAGCUUUAAUUGUUUGUUUUUUGUCACUAAUAUAAGAACCUUAAGAGGGCGAACGUUCCACCUGGAUGUUAGAAGAGAAAGUGUCUCGAUUCAGAGAUAUCUCGGAGGUAAAUAAAGAAUCACUCGACAUGAAUAUAGAAGAGGAUGCCGUCGUCAUGUUGUUAUCCGCUAUCUGGCAAGUGACAGUUAACAGCGUCAUUGCACCCCGGACAAUUACCUCUCCCUGCCGAACAUUACACGGAAUAGUAGCGAACCGUUCCAAGUGAUGUGCAUCUUGAACGCAGGCCAGUGCAUUCACACUUGUCCAGACUACCGCAUUUAACACAGGUUAAAUGCACCCAUCUCUUUCCAGCCAGGUACGCUCAUUACCGCAGUAUUACAGUAGUAUAUUAUUAUAUUUACAAGUAUUUAUCUUUAAUACUUUAUUUUAGAGUUACGGGAUGUUUCAGGCCACGUAAAAUUCUAUAGGCAAUUGAUUCUUAACACAGCGUGUCAUCAUAAUUUCGACAAAGGCAAUGUUUAGAAAGAUCUUCCCCAGUUAAAUUCUAAAUCUGUUGUCAAUUAUAAUCGUUGAAACACCGACACGUUUCACAAACCCUUACCAACACGGUACGUGUUGAAAAUUUAGAUUUUCAUCUCCCGUUCAUUGAGGCUCUCGUGGAAGGAAAAAUACAUCUCUAUUCUGUUCUUAGAAUGGGAAACAGACUUGUGUGUGGAACCAUCCUGUUUUGAUUCGGAUCCUGUUAUCAAGUCUGGCAAGAUUGAUGUAUCAGAGUAUAUUCCUGAUCAUUACUAAAGGCAUAUUGAAUUACACACACACACACACACACACACACGAGAGAGUCACCAUGACACUUUCUCAACAAAUACUCACGUUAUUGUGAUCAGUUUUUAUCUAUGAUACGCGUCAAGAAAAAUAACUAGAUCAACCUGCGCGCAAUAGCACCCACACACACACACACACACACACACACACACACACACACACACACACACACACACACACACACACUUCUUACCCUUUUGUCAGCAGGGUCAUUUGAGCAGUGUCCAUAUCCUGCCGACAUUCAAAUACUGAAGUAAAUAAACACACAACACAAUCCUACGCUGCGGCAUUUUCUAGCACUUUUCCCUUCGCCAGAACCAAGUAUCUGGAAAGUCAAGUUUACCUUUACCAGACGACCGACCCUUCCCUCCUGCUUCCUCCCUCCUUCCCCAUUAUCGCUUCAUUACUUAGAGAGGAAGGGAUAGAGAGAGAGACAGCGAGAGGAAAUGUAAGGAAGAAGAAAAUGAAAAGAAAAAAAAAAUGCUGGAGGGGAGUGGGAACAAAAUAGCUGAAGAAACGAAGGGAAAGGUAAGGUGUUGGAGAUGAAAUGAAAGAGAAAUAAGGAAGCAAGUGAAGUUCGUAAGAUGAGAGGACGCACAGACCUUCACACGCAUGACAGUAAAAUUAAAUGCAUACUCUUGCGACAAAGAAGAAUAUAAAAAAGAAAAAUGCAUUUGGUUUAAUUAUGAGAAGGGAUUGUGAAUUGUAUUCACCGUGAAUGUGUGUGUGUGUGUGUAUGUGUGUGUGUGUGUGUGUGUGUGUGUGUGUGUGUGUGUGUGUGUGUGUGUGUGUGUGUGUGUGUGUGUGUGUGUGUGUGUGUCAGAAUUCACAUAUACAAACAAACAAACAAACAAACAAACACAGAGACGCAAGCAGAAAAGAGUAACGGCCAUGGAAAAAUAAUCCCCAGAGAGAAGAACUGUCAUAUUACCGUAAAUAUUUUCAUUAUCUUAGCACGUGUCGUACUCCUUUUCCCUAAUCUUUCCAAGGACUCAAUCAUACGCAAGAGUAGUAUUCUCUUUUCCAUUUAAAAUUCAGAAAACACAAAACAAAUAAUUGUAUAACCUGUUGUACUACAGAGAUUGAAAUUGUCCUGCACUGUGUAUUCUUCAUUUGAGUAGAAUAGCACAAUUGCACAAUAGUUACAAUUGCGCGAAGAAGAAAAGUCGUAUUGUAUAAACGUUUCAGAGCAAAACAGUAUCCAAUAACUACCUCCAGCUGUCACAUUCAUAUAUUGCUCUUUGCCGAGCUGUUAAUAUAAGACGGUUUAUCAAUUCAUCUGUUAUCUUAUAUUUGA